rnacentral:rRNA from 1 species
UACGAAGGGGGCUAGCGUUGCUCGGAAUUACUGGGCGUAAAGCGCACGUAGGCGGCUUCUUAAGUCGGUGGUGAAAUCCUGGAGCUCAACUCCAGAACUGCCUUUGAUACUGGCAAUCUCGAGUCCGGAAGAGGUGAGUGGAACUCCUAGUGUAGAGGUGGAAUUCGUAGAUAUUAGGAAGAACACCAGUGGCGAAGGCGGCUCACUGGUCCGGUACUGACGCUGAGACGCGAAAGCGUGGGGAG